rnacentral:rRNA from 1 species
CAACAGGGAUUACCUUAGUAACGGCGAGUGAAGCGGUAAUAGCUCAAAUUUGAAAUCUGGCUCUAGGGUCCGAGUUGUAAUUUGUAGAGGAUGUUUCGGGUGCGCCCGCAGUUUAAGUUCCUUGGAACAGGACGUCAUAGAGGGUGAGAAUCCCGUCUUGAACUGUACGGCAAGUCCAUGUGAAACUCCUUCGACGAGUCGAGUUGUUUGGGAAUGCAGCUCAAAAUGGGAGGUAAAUUUCUUCUAAAGCUAAAUAUUGGCCAGAGACCGAUAGCGCACAAGUAGAGUGAUCGAAAGAUGAAAAGCACUUUGAAAAGAGAGUUAAACAGUAUGUGAAAUUGUUAAAAGGGAAGCGUUUGCAACCAGACUUGUUUCUAACAGUUCUACCGCAGUUCUCUGUGGCUUAUUCUGUUAGUCCAGGCCAGCAUCAGUUUGGGUGGCUCGUUAAAGACUUUGGGAAUGUAUCUACUCCUUCGGGUGUAGACUUAUAGCCCAUUGUGUAAUAGGGUCUACCUGGACUGAGGUACGCGCAUUGCUCGGAUGCUGGCGUAAUGGUUGUAAACGACCCGUCUUGAAACACG